rnacentral:rRNA from 1 species
AAUCAACGCUGGCGGCGUGCCUCAGACAUGCAAGUCGAACGCGAAAGCUCCCUUCGGGGGGCAAGUAGAGUGGCGCACGGGUGAGUAACACGUAGGUAAUCUACCUUCGGGUGGGGAAGUAACAACCGGAAACGGUUAGCUAAUACCGCAUAAUGCAGCGGCACCUAAUGGUGACAGUUGUUAAAGCGGGGGAGUCGAAAGAUCUCGCGCCUGAAGAGGAGCCUGCGGCGGAUUAGCAGUUGGUAGGGUAACGGCCUACCAAGGCGACGAUCCGUAGCCGGCCUGAGAGGGCGGUCGGCCACACUGACACUGACAUACGGGUCAGACUCCUACGGGAGGCAGCAGUCGGGAAUUUUGGGCAAUGGGCGAAAGCCUGACCCAGCAACGCCG